CAUCCGUACCUAGGCAGCCACCGGGACACCUGCAGCUGCAGUUGAACAGGAGCGGAAGGCUAACUGGACUAUCAGGGAAGGAAAGAGGAGCCAGUACUGUCUUCCUGGGAGGUGGGAGCAGCACCGCAGCCGCGGACAGCGUCACCCAGGUGGGGGCAGAGCGGGCGCUCGGCUUCAGUACCCAGAGCCAGGACAGCUCCCAGCGGGUCACCAAGGAGACGCCGCCCCCCACCCCACCCCCACCCUACCCCCUCCCGCACAGCACCAAACUCACAGUACCCAGCGUCAGGGACAACCUUGGGGUCCUUUACAGAGAAGAUUUUUUUUUUUUUUUUUUUUGAGACAGGGUACAU